AGAGUUUGAUCCUGGCUCAAGAACGAACGCUGGCGGCGUGCCUAACACAUGCAAGUCGUGCGAGAAAGUCCUUCGGGAGCGAGUAAAGCGGCGCACGGGUGAGUAACACGUAGGUAACCUGCCCCCCACGUCUGGAACAACUAGAGGAAACUCUAGCUAAUGCCGGAUGAGACCACGAUCCCUUCGGGGGUUGCGGCCAAAGAUGGCCUCUACUUGUAAGCUAUCGCUGAGGGAUGGGCCUGCGGGCCAUUAGCUUGUUGGUGGGGUAAUGGCCUACCAAGCCGACGAUCGGUAGCUGGUCUGAGAGGAUGAUCAGCCACACUGGGGACUGAGAUACGGCCCAGACUCCUACGGGAGGCAGCAGUGGGGAAUAUUGGACAAUGGGGGCAACCCCUGAUCCAGCAAUGCCGCGUGAGUGAUGAAGGCCUUAGGGUUGUAAAGCUCUUUUGCCAGGGAAGAUGAUGACUGUACCUGGAGAAUAAGCCCCGGCUAACUUCGUG
rnacentral:rRNA from 1 species